CGGGAGGCAGCGGCCAAGGGCAUUGUAGGCGGCGAUCAUGGCAUUGUAGCUCCGCUUGACUGGACGCGCCUAGGAGAAGGGCGUGGCUGCCGCGUCCAGCUCCUGCUUGGGCUUGAAGGCCGCGCUGGGGGCACCGUCGUAGUACGGGGCGUCGUAGAGGAGUCCGCGAAAGAGCCCUACUCCGUGAUGCACGAGUCCCAGCUAGUGUUGACCUUCGCCGCCUUCCACGGCCGGUGCUCCCCCGCCACCGCGUCCACCUCGCUGGCCUGCCCGAACGCCUCGGUGAUCUACCGCUUCGUGUACUGCUCCAGUAGCCCAUCCGAAUGCCAUUGGUGA
rnacentral:lncRNA from 1 species